rnacentral:misc_RNA from 1 species
GAUGAAGAACGCAGCGAAAUGAGAUAAGUAAUGUGAAUUGCAGAAUUCAGUGAAUCAUCGAAUCUUUGAACGCACAUUGCGCCCCCUGGUAUUCCGGGGGGCAUGCCUGUCCGAGCGUCAUUACAACCCUCAAGCUCAGCUUGGUGUUGGGCCCCGCCGCCCCGGCGGGCCCUAAAGUCAGUGGCGGUGCCGUCCGGCUCCGAGCGUAGUAAUUCUUCUCGCUCUGGAGGUCCGGUCGUGUGCUCGCCAGCAACCCCCAAUUUUUUUCAGGUUGACCUCGGAUCAGGUAGGGAUACCCGCUGAACUUAAGCAUAUCAAUAAGCGGAGGA